AUUGAACGCUGGCGGCAGGCUUAACACAUGCAAGUCGAGCGGAGAUGAGGUGCUUGCACCUUAUCUUAGCGGCGGACGGGUGAGUAAUGCUUAGGAAUCUGCCUAUUAGUGGGGGACAACAUUCCGAAAGGAAUGCUAAUACCGCAUACGUCCUACGGGAGAAAGCAGGGGAUCUUCGGACCUUGCGCUAAUAGAUGAGCCUAAGUCGGAUUAGCUAGUUGGUGGGGUAAAGGCCUACCAAGGCGACGAUCUGUAGCGGGUCUGAGAGGAUGAUCCGCCACACUGGGACUGAGACACGGCCCAGAAUCCUACGGGAGGCAGCAGUGGGGAAUAUUGGACAAUGGGGGGAACCCUGAUCCAGCCAUGCCGCGUGUGUGAAGAAGGCCUUAUGGUUGUAAAGCACUUUAAGCGAGGAGGAGGCUACUGAGACUAAUACUCUUGGAUAGUGGACGUUACUCGCAGAAUAAGCACCGGCUAACUCUGUGUCAGCAGCCGCAGUAA
rnacentral:rRNA from 1 species